rnacentral:RNase_P_RNA from 1 species
GGAGUCGGCCAGGCAGUCGCUGCGGGUAACCGCAGAGGAAAGUCCGGGCUCCGUAGGGCAAGGUGCCAGGUAACGCCUGGAGGGCGUGAGCCUAUGGAAAGUACCACAGAAAACAUACCGCCUAAGUCCGCAAGGGCCGGUAAGGGUGAAAAGGUGCGGUAAGAGCGCACCGCGCGGGUGGCAACACACCGCGGCACGGUAAACCCCACCUGGAGCAAGGCCGCAUAGGGGAACAAUGGCGUGGCCCGCGCCGUUCCCGGGUAGGCCGCACGAGGUGCGUGGCGACACGCGCCCCAGAUGAAUGACUGUCCACGACAGAACCCGGCUUAUCGGCCGACUCUAAUU